rnacentral:tRNA from 1 species
ACUAUUGAAGGAUUGAAGUUUAUCCGUUGGUCUUAGGAACCAAAAAUCCCUGGUGCAAAUCCAUGCAAUAGUA